rnacentral:rRNA from 1 species
CAGUAGCCACGGUAAUACGGAGGAUCCAAGCGUUAUCCGGAAUCAUUGGGUUUAAAGGGUCCGUAGGCGGUCUUGUAAGUCAGUGGUGAAAGCCCAUCGCUCAACGGUGGAACGGCCAUUGAUACUGCAGGACUUGAAUUAUUGGGAAGUAACUAGAAUAUGUAGUGUAGCGGUGAAAUGCUUAGAGAUUACAUGGAAUACCAAUUGCGAAGGCAGGUUACUACCAAUUGAUUGACGCUGAUGGACGAAAGCGUGGGUAGCGAACAGGAUUAGAUACCCGCGUAGUCCCUGUCUCUUAUAC